rnacentral:misc_RNA from 1 species
GAUGAAGAACGUAGCGAAAUGCGAUAAGUAGUGUGAAUUGCAGAAUUCAGUGAAUCAUCGAAUCUUUGAACGCACAUUGCGCCCCUUGGUAUUCCAUGGGGCAUGCCUGUUCGAGCGUCAUUUGUACCUUCAAGCUCUGCUUGGUGUUGGGUGUUUGUCUCGCCUCUGCGUGUAGACUCGCCUCAAAACAAUUGGCAGCCAGUGUAUUGGUCUUGAAGCGCAGCACAUUUUGCGAUUCUUGCUGAUACUCACUAGCAUCCAGUAAGCCUCUUUAACACUUUUGACCUCGGAUCAGGUAGGGAUACCCGCUGAACUUAAGCAUAUCAAUAAGCGGAGGA